AGUUGCACCCUGUUGGAGUUAAAGAGAUGAACAACACAUAUUUUUCUGAUCUCCCUCCAAUAAGCAGUAUACGGUGAAAAAGCCAAAUCUAAACCUUUGUAAGAUAAUUUAUAUGACCCAUGUAAAGUAGGCCUACUGCAAAAGUCAAGGUCAUGUGUUUUCAUAACCUCUUUAGCCAUUUUCGCUGAAGAAACUACCAGCGUUAACCAAAAUCCGAGUCGCAAGGACAUGAGAGAGCCAUACUUUUGAGAGAGUUUCCAAAGAAAAAUAUGAGGGGCUGAGUUAUCUAGCAUCUGCAUGUGUAAGUGACCGAUCAAGGGAAGGCCUGGAGGGCCAGGGGGAAGAAGAAUACUGCCGUUUCUUCUAUGUUUUAGCAGAAUGCAUAGGAAGAGACUGGGGAGGGCUAGAACAAAGAACAACAAAACUACCAUUUUGAUAUAAUCGAUUGAUGAAGCGACUUGUGACAAUUGAGAGCAAGAGUCCCCUUAUAUACACUAAUUAGCAGACACUUCUAACUAAAAAAUUUAAUGCAAGCUGACACUUGCAUUGUUGAAUAUUGCUCCUCUUUUUUGUACCAAGAUAAAUAUAGGAAGGAAUAAAUAUUUGAAAUUGCUUCUUUAUGUCAGGAACAAUAGGCAUUUGAAGGGGAAAUUAAUAAGGAAACGUAAUGUAAUGAAGGUCCGUCAUUCUACAUUAUAGUCAGCUUGGUAACACUACUGUUUUUUUCCCUGAUCGUGAUAUAUAGUAAAAAAAAAUUUAUGAAUUAUUGUUGUUACUGCUCCAUUUGUUCUAUUUUUUAUUGAAAUGUCACGGUGAGCUGCUGUCGUUUCCAGAAAAGGCCAAACGCAAGUUAAUUUUCUCGAUUUUGUUUAGGAUUUUGAGUUCUUAGGAAGAUUUGUUUUUGAAAAGUGAUUUAUUAACCUCUUCAAUCAAAGUGCCGGCCGUUCCAAGUCUCUUUCAAUUAAAAAACGAUUUUCAAUAACAUCAAUACUUGAUUUGGAUAGUAAGUAAUAUUGUACAAUUACCAAAAGAUUUACCGCACCAUCCUACAUGCGGACGGGGUCUUAAACCCUUCAAACCUAUCAAAAGAUUUCUCUUCAGGAAUAUGCUGUUGCUUUGUUCACGGAUUAUUUGCUGUUUGUUUUGUUUUGGAAUGAACGUUGAGAUUGGUGGUUCCAGGUUGUAUGGUCAACAAAGAAAAUGUACAAAUUUCCUCACGCUUGCCAAUAAUUGGCUUAUGCUUGAUUCUCGCGUCUCUGGUAAAUAUAAUGUUAUACAGAAAUUCAUAAAGCUGGAACCAAGUGUCAAAGAAGCAGAAUGUUUAGCUUCUCCUUAACGUCACCCUCUCCAUCAGAAUCCUUCAGUCCUUCACGGCAUCAUUUGAUCUUUAGACUGGUUAGUGGUCCAUUGCAGUAGGAACCAUACGUCUUCAUUGUUGAAUUUUCGCGAUAUGGGUUCAAUAAUGAAAGGUGAAAUCUCGCAGGCCAAUCCAAGAUUUUGAUUCCUCUAUGCCUAUCCAUCUGCAUUAUUGAGAAACGAUAAAGGCCUAAAUCCAAUAAUUACCGGUUCACAUGUAGUAUGAGUUAAUUAGAUGGAGAAUUUUGAUUCGAACAUAAAUUAAAUAUUUUGAAGUAAUUUGUCUUUGAUUAAGACUAUAAUAUAUAGAGUACUCUAUUGGGCCCAAAAUGAAUCAUUAGUUACUUUCAAUAAAAAAUUAAACAGAAUCGACCUAAUUACACAAAUAUUAAAGAAGUACAAAGAAAAUGUCGCAUCUAGUAUCGUAAUUAGUGAAUUCUAUGAUUCACGUGGUUCAAGCUCUUGCUGUACGACGUACUAGUUGGAAACUAGAAAAGAAGAAGACAAGUGUUGAUGCUUUCCUGCCUAUGGAUUUGCUGCAGUGAUGUUUAAUUAUAUAUUAACAUCUAUUGUACAUGAAUCCAGCUAAUUGAAAAUGAUGUUUGUCUAUUGCUAUUCACAUGAUGUUAUAUCUAAGAUGAAUCACGACGACAAGUUUUUUCUUUCUUUAGCUUUAUUGCUAGAUGUCAUCUUUUCUGUGUUGAUUUUCAUGGUUUUUCUUUAGCAUACCAGGUAUCACAUCAAAGUCUUCUUUAUUCAUCCCGGCCGGCAUUUCCCAAUCAAAUUUGUAAAGAAGAUUGGCAAGGGCAAGCUCCAAAGUUGAUACUCCCAUAUGCAAGUGACCGAUCAAGGGAAGACCUGGCGGGCCUGGGGGAAGAAGAAUAUUGCCAUUAUUUCUUUGUUUUAAGAGAAUGAAUAGGAAGAGGGUGGGGAGGGCUAGAACGAAGAACAGCAACACUACCAUUGUGAUCUAGUGAAACAACUUGUGAAAAUUGAGGGCAAGAGUCCCCUAAUAAAGAACUAAUUAGCCAACUCUUUUGACCAAAAUUUUUUUAAUAAAAAUUAAUGAUCAGAUUCAUAUGGCUGAUAUUAAUGAUCAGAUUCAUAUGGUUGAUAUUAAUGAUCAGAUCCAUAUGGUUGAUAUUAUCUCGCCAAUCAGGGGGAGGGUUGUUCAUUAAUGGGCUCGAGCCCCACAAAUUAAGUCCAAUGCUGUCACAAAACGCUUCACCGAGAAGGAUUCCUUACGUCUCCUCGCCAUGGAAAUUGGAAGCUUUGCUAGGUAGCUAGCAGCCUAUCAGUGAUGCAUUUCUUAUUUACAUUGAAAAAAAAAACGGUUCAAAAAAUAAUUUUAUCUAAAAUUUUUUCUUCAUAUGAGAAAAAAAAAAGAGAUUUGUCAAAAAAACUUGGUUUUCUCUUGACCAUUUUGUUCUUGAAAGUAUUUAGUUUCUCAUUGGUACAAAUUUCUCUUAAUUUGUGAAUUUAAGCUGAUGUGAGUGUCAUAUAUCUUUGCUCUUUCUACUCUGAUUCAAGUGCAUCAUAGGUUUCAUACACCUUACGAUAAUAAGAAAUGUUAACGUUUAAACGGACAACAUUUGUUAUUGUAUUCGAGUAAACAUAGAAAAUUAUUUACUUUUGAUAUUUAAUUUAUGAUAUAAUGGUCAAAUAAGUCUCUAAAUUAUUUAAAAAAAUUUAAAUAAGUUUUUAUUUUUUAUUGUGUUCAAUACUUUUAUUUCAAGUCAAAUAAAUCCAUAUAACUAAUGAAUGAUUAAUUAUCAUUAGUCAAAAUGUCGUCUGUCAUUUUAUAUCCACAUGACGUUGAUGUGGAGGAUGAAAAAUACCACAUGAUCAUGUUAUCAUGGUAAAUUAACACGUCACGUCAUUAUCAAUUAUGAUAUAUCAUCAUAUCAUAUUAUUAUCAAUUAUGAUAUAUUAGCAUGCUAUAUUAGUGUCAAGUGAUAUAAAAUGAUAAAUAGUAUUUUAAUUAAGUUAAUUAUUAGUCAUAAAGUCUUAUUUAAUUUAAAAUAAAAAUACAAUGACUUAUUUAAAAUUUUCAAAAUAAUUUAAAUAUUUUUUUUGAAUAUUAUUCCUUAAUUUAUUUUAAUUUAAGCGUUUUGUUACUUUGAUUUUUGGCAACUUUAUUUAUCAGUAAAUACUAUUUCAACAAAAAAGUUAUAGAGACAAAUUUAAUUGAUUUAAAUGAGUUUCAAGUCAAUAAGUGAUGUCUCCUUGUAUUAAUUUAAGAAUUCGGAAACUUAAAAAACAUUGAAUUGAUCACUCAACUAGAAUAUCAUGGAUUACUCAAAAGAAAGUUAAAUUACAUUACAUUAAUUAAUGAUCAUUAGGUUAUCGUUUUUGAAACAAAAACAACUUAAAAAUUAACAUUAACAAACAUGGAUUUAUUAUAAAACAUACACAACAUAAAAUGUUGUUGACACUCCAAACUAGAGCAAGCUAGCAGCAAUUAAGUUACUAGGAUAACCUUACAUGCAUUAAACAUUAAUUUCUUUGGCCACAAGGCAAAGAGCAUUUUUUGUGUGUGUAGUGAUACCGGGUAUCACAUCAAAGUCUAAGUCUUCCUUGUUCAUCCCUGUUGGCAUUUCCCAAUCAAAUUUGUAAAGAAGAUUAGCAAGGGCAAGCUCCACAGUCACAACUCCCAUAUGUAUUCCGGGACAACCCCUUCUACCGGCACCAAAAGGUAUGAGCUCGAAGUCUAGUCCUUUAUAGUCAAUAGAGCUGCCAAUGAAUCUCUCCGGAUAGAAUUCUUCUGGGUUUUCCCAAGCUUCAGGGUCUCUUCCAAUUGCCCACGCAUUCACAUAAACUAAGGUUUUGGCAGGUAUUUCAUAUCCGCUUAUGUUGCUCUUUCGCAUUGUUUCUCGUGGCACCAACAAUGGAACUAUUGCUUGCAAUCUGAAUGUUUCUUUUAUCACAGCUUUAAGAUAAGUUAAGGCUUGAGUAUCAUCUUCAUUUACAAAAUCUUUUUUCCCCAUCAAACUUCUCACUUCCUCUUGAGCUUUCUUCAAACACCUAGGAUUUUUCAUUAGGAAGGUCAUGACCCAAAUCACACUGGCAGCGCUAGUGUCCGUUCCAGCAACAAACACAUUCUACAUAAGAGAAAGAAAAAAAGACAUGAGGUAAUAUAUAUAUAUUCCAAGAAUGUUGAAGCUAUAAAAUUAAUUAAUGAUAAUACUUAAUACUAUAAUAAAGUAAAUUUUUGAGUGAGGAUUGACCAUUAGCACAGCUUUUAUGUGAUCUAUAGUGAGAUCAACCGCAAAUUCACGAUCCUUCCAAAUUUGUAGUAAGACAUCGAUUAUGUCUUCUUGCUCCAAUUUUGACCUAUUUGGAUCAAGAUGCUCGUCGAUGAGUUUUUGAUAGAAGGUAUCAAAUUCUUUAAAAAAAUUUUCAACAUGCUUGAGCAAUCCGGAGAUUCUAUCAACCCAAUUCAUGAAAGGAAAAUAAUCAGAAAUAAAGAAUUCCACGAACAGGGCUUGGGCUUCAUUAAGCAUCUCAUGGAAUCUGCUUCUUUCAGUUCCUUUGUCUUCAUACCUCUUGCCGAAUCCUACUCUGCAAAUUAUUGUACUGGUAAGACACAUCAUUGCCUCACUCAAAUUGACAGGCUUAGAAUCAACAGAUAAUUUGGAUAUUUUUGCAAUCAGGCGAGAAACUUCAUCUUCUCGAAUGGGACGAUAGAGUUGCACCCUGUUGGAGUUAAAGAGAUGAACAACACAUAUUUUUCUGAUCUCCCUCCAAUAAGCAGUAUACGGUGAAAAAACCAAAUCUAAACCUUUGUAAGAUAAUUUAUAUGACCCAUGUAAAGUAGGCCUACUGCAAAAGUCAAGGUCAUGUGUUUUCAUAACCUCUUUAGCCAUUUUUGCUGAAGAAACUACCAAGGUUGGCCUAAAUCCAAAUCGCAAGGACAUGAGAGGGCCAUACUUUUGAGAGAGUUUCCAAAGAAAAAUAUGAAGGGCUGAGUUAUCUAGCAUCUGCAU
rnacentral:lncRNA from 1 species